CAUCGACCAAGCCGAUAUCCCGAAGCUACUUUGUUGCACACAAAAACCAGCAGUCCGUCAAAGGAACAGUUACCGCUGAACUUACCAGUUUCCCUGAUGAAGGCCUUUCCGUUACGAGGUGAAGGUGCAGUAGUGAUUCAGCAUCCAACAACGCUUGCAUCGGCAGCAUAGAAUUUGAAGGCGUAUCUUCUAGGUUAAAUUACAAACGCAAAUGGCGCCAACGGUUCGAAUCGCCCACCAGCGGGCACAAGUUAACUGCGUAACAGUAAUCGAGCACCCUUCAGAGUCGACAUCGGUAACAACGAUGUGACGACACAUGUUCCGGACAGCGUACGAUAUCGACUUGACCCGGUUGCGUCGGAAACGGGAACAUCUCCAAAAUCAGAAAACGGCGCAGCAGAAAUCGAUUAUUUAUUUAUUACUUAAUUAUUUACUCUAAAAUAAAAUGCUGAUAAAGAUUUUUCUUUAAUUGAUACAUAUUUGUACCUGCUUGUAGCGCAUUUGAGGAGGCAAGAAUUUUCAAAUCCUUAUAAAAUGCAAUGGCAUAUUUACCGAUAGGGUAAAAUCUAUGCUUUCUUCAUUGCAUUUUGUAAGGAUUUAGAAUCUCUUGCCUCCUCGAAUACGCUGCAGGCUGUUGCGGCUGCUUUAGUUUUUAUUCCAAAAUCAUGUAUAAAUUACGUGAAAUUCAUGUAGAACUAAUCAUGUUUUCACGUAAAAGUUACCUGAAAUUCCAGUGGCACUCACCCACAUUUCACGUAAACGAUACGUAAAAUGCAUGUCAAAUUUACCUGACUCAUCACGUCGAUUAUCGAAACACAAUUUUUCCAGCUACCUGAAAUUCCGGUGAAGGCUACGUGAAAAUUA